CUGUUUUGUCAAUCUUAAUGUCCGUGUUUUAGUGUUUUGUGUUUGUUUUUGUUUUUGUUUGAGAGAGUCUCACUCUGUCGCCCAGGCUGGAGUGUAGUGGCGCAAUCUCGGCUCACUGCAACCUCUGCCUCCUGGGUUCAAGCGAUUCUCCUGUCUCAGCCUCCCAAGUAGCUGGGAUUACAGGCACGCGCCACCAUGCCCAGCUUAUUUUUGUAUCUUUAGUAGUGAUGGGGGUUUCGCUAUUUGGCUAGGCUGGUCUUGAACUCCUGUCCUCAGGUUAUCCUCCUGCCUCAGCCUCCCAAAGUGCUAGGAUCACAGGUGUUAGCCACCUUGCUCGGACUGUUUUAGCGUUAACGUGGGUCAGUUGUGCCUGAAUUCUACAGGGAGGAAGGUAUAAUGAGUCAUGCCUGACUCCCCAUUCCCGUCAUGGCCUGAACUAGUUCUUUGGGUUAACUUUAUAAUGCCCUUGGCCUAGAGGGGGGUUCAUUCAGUUGGUUCAGAGGCUUAGAAUUUUAUUUUUAGUUUACAAACCCAAGAGCCCUACUUAAUUUGCAAUAUAAAAUAUGAUUGCCAAGCAUAUUGAAAUACUCAGAUUAUCUGGUCUGAGUGCAGUGGUGUUUGCAACUAAUUGAUCACACCAGGUACAGAUUUCUUUGUUCCUUCUCCAUGCCCCCUGCUUCACUUG
rnacentral:lncRNA from 1 species